UUCGCCGCAUUAUGUUUAAAUUAAAGGUUAUCAAAAUCCGCAGCUAGAUCAAAACAUGAUCGGGAAUCAGGAUAAAUUGAUUUAUCAGAUAAUCCGCUUCGUGAACUGGAUUCUCAGAAAAUCUAAGCGGAAGUGAACCAGUUGAUAGCUGUAAGAAACGAAUUCUGGAAGAGAUCCGCAAUCACACCGGAAUUGUUGUUCUGAUCCUGUUAUAAAUGACUGUGAAACAAUGUUUUCAUUCAGAGCGAAGACCGCAAGAGGAUCAAAAUUUGCCUGUUGAUCGGCUGGGUAUAAUCCAACGAGAAAAGUGGAACGAAGAAUUACAGGUCGCAAAAACGCCAGGCCGCUAGCAAAUUAAACUUUGAGCCAUUGCACUAUUUCCGGAACGAUCAUCAUGAAUUUAAAGAAUGUCUACGGAGUUGUGUUGUGUUAAACAAAGGUUGCAUGGUAAGAUUUUCUGGUGGUGAUUAAAGUAGAGAAA